AAGCGUGUCCGGAUUACUGGUGUAAAGGUGCGCAGGCGGGCUCAUAAGUCGGGGGUAAAUCCAUGUGCUUAACACAUGCAUGGCUUCCGAUACUGUGAGUCUAGAGUCUCGAAGAGGAAGAUGGAAUUUCCGGUGUAACGGUGGAAUGUGUAGAUAUCGGAAAGAACACCAGUGGCGAAGGCAGUCUUCUGGUCGAGAACUGACGCUCAGGCACGAAAGCGUGGGGAGCAAACAGGAUUAGAUACCCUGGUAGUCCACGCCGUAAACGAUGAUUACUAGCUGUUUGCGAUACAAUGUAAGCGGCUGAGCGAAAGCGUUAAGUAAUCCACCUGGGGAGUACGUUCGCAAGAAUGAAACUCAAAGGAAUUGACGGGGGCCCGCACAAGCGGAGGAACAUGUGGUUUAAUUCGAUGAUACGCGAGGAACCUUACCCGGGCUUGAAAUGCAUCUGACCGGCCUUGAAAGAGGCUUUCCCUUCGGGGCAGAUGUGUAGGUGCUGCAUGGUUGUCGUCAGCUCGUGCCGUGAGGUGUCGGCUUAAGUGCCAUAACGAGCGCAACCCUCAUCAUUAGUUACCAUCAGGUCAAGCUGGGGACUCUAAUGAGACUGCCAUCGUAAGAUGCGAGGAAGGUGGGGAUGACGUCAAAUCAGCACGGCCCUUACGUCCGGGGCGACACACGUGUUACAAUGGGUGGUACAAAGGGCAGCUACCUGGCGACAGGAUGCCAAUCUCCAAAACCACUCUCAGUUCGGAUCGGAGUCUGCAACUCGACUCCGUGAAGCUGGAUUCGCUAGUAAUCGCGCAUCAGCCACGGCGCGGUGAAUACGUUCCCGGGCCUUGUACACACCGCCCGU
rnacentral:rRNA from 1 species